UACGUAGGUGGCUAGCGUUGUCCGGAUUUACUGGGCGUAAAGAGCGCGCAGGCGGUCGUUCAAGUCGAGUGUGAAAGCCCCCGGCUCAACUGGGGAGGGUCACUCGAUACUGAUCGACUUGAAGGCGGGAGAGGGAAGCGGAAUUCCCGGUGUAGUGGUGAAAUGCGUAGAUAUCGGGAGGAACACCAGUGGCGAAGGCGGCUAUCUGGACGGUUUCUGACGCUAAGACGCGAAAGCGUGGGGAGCAAACAGG
rnacentral:rRNA from 1 species